rnacentral:rRNA from 1 species
GACGAACGCUGGCGGCGUGCUUAACACAUGCAAGUCGAACGGAAAGGCCCUGCUUUUGUGGGGUGCUCGAGUGGCGAACGGGUGAGUAACACGUGAGUAACCUGCCCUUGACUUUGGGAUAACUUCAGGAAACUGGGGCUAAUACCGGAUAGGAGCUCCUGCUGCAUUGUGGGGGUUGGAAAGUUUCGGCGGUUGGGGAUGGACUCGCGGCUUAUCAGCUUGUUGGUGGGGUAGUGGCUUACCAAGGCUUUGACGGGUAGCCGGCCUGAGAGGGUGACCGGCCACAUUGGGACUGAGAUACGGCCCAGACUCCGACGGGAGGCAGCAGUGGGGAAUAUUGCACAAUGGGCGGAAGCCUGGUGCAGCAACGCCGCGUGCGGGAUGACGGCCUUCGGGUUGUAAACCGCUUUCGCCUGUGACGAAGCGUGAGUGACGGUAAUGGGUAAAGAAGCACCGGCUAACUACGUGC